AGUAUUGAUUAUAUUCUUCAGGUUGGGGAUCGAAUUGGCAAGGAGCAUUGCAAAGGUAAUUUGCAAGAGUUGUUAAACCCAGACAAAAAACAAGAUUUUAGUAAGAGAACAACAUCAAAUACAAAUUCAUUGGAGAUGGAUAAAAGUUGGAUCCAUCUUAACAGAGUAACGGUGGAAUAUGAGCAAAAAGCUAGAGAGUUUGU